UUCACUCUGAGUACAGUAUUGCAUUCACCGAGAAAAGCCAAUAAAUUUUCAUAAUAUUAAAAUUUCAUUUUUCAAACAGAUAGAACAGCUGUUGCUGUUAUUCACGAUUGUCUGUUUGGGAUUCGAAAAUAUCAGACUCGUUUGUGUUUUGUAUAGUUUGUUAACGGUGUUUACAACACUGGCUGAGAACAUUACUAUGCCGUGGACGAAAAUAAAUGUUCGGUAUAUGAAAAUAAAUUCAUUUUUCCUGGGAAUUCAUACCAUAAUACAUGUUUCGUAAUUCAAUAAAACAUGUUUAAAAUUCAGAAUUUUCUUAUUUCAAUACUGUAAAGACUUAUUUGACUUCAUCGAUCCUCUCUCUCUGAGUAAUAACUUCGCCAAAACUUAUACUUCCGCAAUGUUUCUAUCUCACGAUGCAACAGGUGAAUCAGUUGUUUUGUAAUAAUACGAAAAGAGCAACGCAAAUCGAUCAUUGCAUUAGAACCCUAAUGAAAAAUCAAUGUGGAUUUUUGUAAAUCGACUUUUUUUUUAAUAUAGUAUAGAGAUUUUUCGAUCCGAGUUUAAAAAAUGGGAUCUUACAGCUCCAGCCGCUGCUGAAUCUAUUUUGUUGGCACCCAUGUUUUUCGUUGUUGCCUAUGGGCAAAUUUCGGAAAAUUUGACUUAUGUCGUUUUUCUUUAUUUGCACCGCCUGCACCGUUUUCCCACCGGUGUAGCAAAAGUUGCACCCAAACCGUUCUUUUAUUCCGCAGGUAGCACACCGUUUUUACACUCGAUUGCCACCGGUGCAGAAAAUCCUACACCCUGAUCGAGCUGGGUGUAGCAGCAAAUCAUGAAUAACAGAAACAGCUGUUCUAUCUGUUUGAAGAAUGACAUUUUGUUUUGAUUGACGCCUUCACUAAUACUAUCAUACGCUGUCAAAAUAUUGCACCGAAACCGUUCUAUUUUCCGGUGUCAAUUGUUACACUCGCACGGUGCACCGUCG